GGUGCUGCAUGGCUGUCGUCAGCUCGUGCCGUGAGGUGUCGGCUUAAGUGCCAUAACGAGCGCAACCCUUGUUGUCAGUUACUAACAGGUGAUGCUGAGGACUCUGACAAGACUGCCAUCGUAAGAUGUGAGGAAGGUGGGGAUGACGUCAAAUCAGCACGGCCCUUACGUCCGGGGCUACNNACGUGUUACAAUGGGGGGUACAGAGGGCCGCUACCACGCGAGUGGAUGCCAAUCCCUAAAACCCCUCUCAGUUCGGACUGGAGUCUGCAACCCGACUCCACGAAGCUGGAUUCGCUAGUAAUCGCGCAUCAGCCACGGCGCAGUGAAUACGUUCCCGGGUCUUGUACACAC
rnacentral:rRNA from 1 species